UUCAGAUGUGCACUCCAACUUCACCUCAGCAUCAGGCGCUAGUCAAAUGAAUGUGGAAAUGGUACGGGUGAUGAGGCAGCUUCAGUAGUACAUCAGUGAACUGCGGUUAGAUGAGAUUUUGUUAGGCUGUAUGUCAGUAAAAACUAAUUUUUCUGUCCUGUCAGCUGUUACACUGUGCUCAUAGUGUGUGCUCUUCAAUUACACGCACAAAUACGGCGGCGUGCACUGUAGCCUGUAUCAUUGCAUAUUAAAGCGAGCGUGUGUUAGAUCCAUAUCACGUUCAGUAGUGGCAGCUCUUAAAGUAAUACCAGCAAAAUAACCUAAUAACCACAUCUGUGAUGUCUGUUAAUCAAAAAAACAAAAGAAAAAGGAGGAAAGUUUUAAGGAUCCAUCUACAGUUGAAAUCAAAAGUUUACAUACACCUUGCAGAAUCUGAAAAAUGUUAAUUAUUUUACCAAAAUAAGAGGGAUCAUACAAAAUGCAUGUUAUUGUUUAUUUAGUACUGACCUGAAUAAGAUAUUUCACAUAAAAGAUGUUUACAUGUAGUCCACAAGAGACAAUAAUAGAUUAAUUUAUAAAAAAAUGACCCCGUUCAAAGGUUUACAUACUGUACACUUGAUUCUUAAUACUUUAUUGUUACCUGAAAGAUCCAGAGCUGUUUUUUGUUUAGUGAGCAUCAGUGAGUGUUUGAACCUUCUGUAAUAGUUGCAUAUGAGUCCCUCAGUGUGAAAAGAUAGAUCUCAAAAUCAUACAGUCAUGUUGGAGAGGGUUCAAAUACUCAUACAUGCUGGAAAACCAAAGAAUUUGUGGGACUUGAAGGAUUUUUCUGAAGAACAGCAGGCAGUUUAACUGUUCAGGAAAAAAAAGGGACUCAUGGACAACUAUCACUAAACAAAAAAAUACAGCUGUGGAUCAUUCAGGUAACAACACAGUAUUAAGAAUCAAGUGUACACUGUUAAACAUUUCUGUAAUUUCUACAGUUAUUUACUGUAUAUCACCCAGUAUAGUACUGCAAAUUUCCUUUACAGUAAAUAACUGUAAUAUCCCUUUGCAUCAUGGGAAUUUUCUGUGAUGUCAAACCCCACAUACAGAGACUUACUGUAUUUUUGUUGUAUACUACUGUAUUUGCCGUAAUAGCCUCUUUGGUGCCAUUUUAUUGAGGUUGUUUUAUUUUCCUCAUUUCUUAUAUUUGGAUUGACUUGAUUUGCCCUACAACGCUGCAACAACUUGGGACUGACUACACUGGAUGUGUUACAUUGCUUGUAAUGAUUGGAAAAUUUGUUUGUCCUUCAUGUCAGACACAGCGCGAGCGCUUGGAGCACUGUAUGUCAGAAAUAUAACGGGGCAUCACUUUACUGUCAGCAUCCACUGUAGAUAGUAUAAUGGGUUCUAUAUUGUCUUUUCGAGUCGCGCCGUGCCACUCGCGUCCGAGGAAGACACGGAUCCAGUUUUGCCUGGGGAUGAACCCGCGAGAGUGGAAGAGUUCCGGAGAAUGUCGGUGCACCUUACGAGGGAAUAAGACCUGCAAGCAAGGCAACUGCAAUGAAGUAUCAAGAAAGACAUGAGCAUGCCAGCCACCCUGAGACUGAUAAUUCAUGAGAAGACAUUUCUGUCACUAACAAAGUGGAUGGUGAUCAAAGGUGGUGGCCAUGUUUUGGAGCAGCAUCUGGGUUUUGCAGAUGGCUGUGUAUUUUUGUGAGGAUAAAUCCAGAGGAUACAACAUAAUGCACUGCAAAAUGUCAUAAGACAGGAGAAAUGAUGAAGAUGCACUGUUCCAGCAUUGGAAGACUGUAUUUUUAAGUGUUACACAUGCAAUGUUUUAAAUAAAGAAUUUGAUAUUUUGGAAUUGUGUCUGUUUUAAUUGAAUGCCCGUAGUAUAUGUAAACUUCUGAACGGGGUCAUUUUUAUACAUUCAACUAUUAUUUUCUCUUGUGGACUCUAUGUAAACAUAUUUUAUGUCAAAUAUCUUAUUUAGGUCAGUACUAAAUAAACAAUAACAUGCAUUUUGUAUGAUCCCUCUUAUUUUGGUAAAAUAAUUAACAUUUUACAGAUUCUGCAAGGUAAAGGUAAACUUUUGACUUCAACUGAAUGUGAAUUUAGUGUUUGAUAACUUUAUUACAUUUCUGUAUAUUUCCUACUUGCUGAAGGGCACAGGUAUGACAUAAUGGGUUUAUUUGAAGAUUGUUUCAAAUUUACUUAAAUUAUGUAAUAAAUGUUAUUUUUUAAAGUCUAAUACAUGUUAAAAAAUGAUAGCUCUCAGUUAUACUGUAAUGUUGAAUGGCUAUAGUCAAUGGUUAAAUAUUAGGGAAAAAAGAACAAUUUCCUAGAGACAUCAGUAGUAUUGAUAUCAGUGAUAUUCGCCUUCAGUCAUGAAUAAGAUGACAUUAAACAAAUAUUUAAAAAUGUAAUACAAAUGUGUGUGUGUGUGUGUAAAAUAAAGAAUUAUAAUUAUAAAAUAAAGAAUACAGCUGGUAAACUGUCUAAAUUAUUACACCAUUGGCAGUUAUUGUGUAUGUAUGUUUAUAUAUUUGUGUGUUCAUAUUUAUACGUAACAACAUGUACAAAAUGUUCUG